rnacentral:sRNA from 1 species
AUAACUAAUGGCUGGGCUUCAGGAGGAAGUGGUCGUUGUCUCUGCAGACUGCGGAGAGGGAGAUGGAAGGGAAGGUGUGUUCGCUCUUCCUGCCAAGGGCCCUAGAGACAGAGAAGAGGGAUGUCUUUGUCGUAAGCGAUCACAGGGGACUCCUGAGGACUGGGGAGGGCUCUGUGUCACUUGGGAGGUUCCCCAAUAGGUAAAUUGAUGGAUUUUUCUCCCCCACAGUGCGAAAACAGGAGAUCAUUAAGAUUACAGAACAGCUGAUUGAAGCCAUCAACAAUGGGGACUUUGAGGCCUACACGAAGAUUUGUGAUCCAGGCCUCACUUCCUUUGAGCCUGAGGCCCUUGGUAACCUCGUGGAGGGGAUGGAUUUCCAUAAGUUUUACUUUGAGAAUCGUGAGUGGGUUCGUGCUGCUGAUAUACUCCUGCCUGCCCCUUCACCCCUUUGCCUCUGUCUCCUGCUUACCUUCUCAUCCCAGUUGCCCACUUUUCCCUUAUUUGACCUUCGUGCUGCACUCCUACUCUGUAUGCUUGCCCCCUUGUGCCCCGAUGGUUGUAAACAGGCACCUUUGAAGGCCCUGCUCCUGAGCUCCAAGUGCCAUUCAUUCUGCAGCUGCCUUGUGGCAGUGCCAGUCACCACAGUCAAGCUCACUUAUUUCUUGCUGGGCGCGGUGGCUUACGCCUGUAAUCCCAGCACUUUGGGAGGCUGAGGCUGGCGGAUCACGAGGUCAGGAGAUCGAGGCCAUCCUGGCUAACACGGUGAAACCCCAUCUCUACUAAAAAUACAAAAAAUUAGCCGGGCGUGGUGGCGGUGCCUGUAGUCCCAGCUACUCGGGAGGCUGAGGCAGGAGAAUGGUGUGAACCUGGGAGGCAGAGCUUGCAGUGAGCCAAGAUCAGGCCACUGCACUCCAGCCUGGGCAACAAAGCGAGACUCCAUCUCAAAAAAAAAAAAAAAAAAAAAAAUUAUUUCUUUAAGCCUCACCUCUUUCCAAGACAGAUUGGAAGGAAACCCUUUGAGAUUAGGUUGAGAUGAUCUCAGCACAUAAGAACUAAGCUCUGUGUCUGCAGGUUUCACAAUAGAGGAAAUUAAAACCAGGAUAAGAAUGUGCAAACCAGGGCACUGUUGGUGAUUUGUGAGAUCGGAAGUUGUGGCUAGAAUCUUCCUGACUAUGGAGGAAGGCAGACGUCUUGUAUGGGGGGUGGGGUGUACAUUCUGGACAGUUUGUGGAAAAUAAGGGGAUAAGAAGCUGAAUCAUCACCCCCUCCCAUCUUUCCCUCUGCUCUAUGAGACCCUCCCCCUCCUUAUUUUUAUCUCUUCCCACUUUAUGCUGGGCCUUCCCUAUCCUGCCCUGAGUUAUAGUUAGUCACUAACUUCUCCGCUGACUCCCACCCUUAUCACAUCUCAGCUACAUAUAUAAACUCUCUGUUAUCUAAGUAAUGCUAUUAGCCAGAAGCAAUUCCAGAGUUUAUAUUAGUACUAGGAAGGUGUCAUGUAGCCCCUAACAUUUGAAUUGAACUAAAAUGUGAAUCUCAAUAAAAGCAACACAGUUUUCACAGCA